rnacentral:rRNA from 1 species
UACGUAGGGCGCAAGCGUUGUCCGGAAUUAUUGGGCGUAAAGAGCUCGUAGGCGGCCUGUUGCGUCCGCUGUGAAAUCCCGGGGCUCAACCCCGGGCCUGCAGUGGAUACGGGCUGGCUAGAGGCAGGCAGGGGAGAACGGAAUUCCUGGUGUAGCGGUGGAAUGCGUAGAGAUCCGGAGGAAGACCGGUGGCGAAGGCGGCCUGCUGGGCAGUUACUGACACUGAGGCGCGACAGCGUGGGGAGCAAACAGG